rnacentral:rRNA from 1 species
CCUACGGGUGGCUGCAGUGGGGAAUUUUGGACAAUGGGCGCAAGCCUGAUCCAGCCAUGCCGCGUGCAGGAUGAAGGCCUUCGGGUUGUAAACUGCUUUUGUACGGAACGAAAAGGUGCCUUCUAAUAAAGGGCGCUCAUGACGGUACCGUAAGAAUAAGCACCGGCUAACUACGUGCCAGCAGCCGCGGUAAUACGUAGGGUGCGACCGUUAAUCGGAAUUACGGAGCGGGAUGUGUGCGCAGGAGGUUAAAUCCCCGGGCUCAACCUGGGAACUGCCGUUGUGACUGCAAGGCUGGAGUGCGGCAGAGGGGGAUGGAAUGCCGCGUGUAGCAGUGAAAUGCGUAGAUAUGCGGAGGAACACCGAUGGCGAAGGCAAUCCCCUAGGCCUGCACUGACGCUCAUGCACGAAAGCGUGGGGAGCAAACAGGAUUAGAUACCCGAGUAGUC